AGUGAACGCUGGCGGUAGGCCUAACACAUGCAAGUCGAACGGCAGCACAGUAAGAGCUUGCUCUUACGGGUGGCGAGUGGCGGACGGGUGAGGAAUACAUCGGAAUCUACUUUUUCGUGGGGGAUAACGUAGGGAAACUUACGCUAAUACCGCAUACGACCUACGGGUGAAAGCAGGGGAUCUUCGGUCCUUGCGCGAUUGAAUGAGCCGAUGUCGGAUUAGCUAGUUGGCGGGGUAAAGGCCCACCAAGGCGACGAUCCGUAGCUGGUCUGAGAGGAUGAUCAGCCACACUGGAACUGAGACACGGUCCAGACUCCUACGGGAGGCAGCAGUGGGGAAUAUUGGACAAUGGGCGCAAGCCUGAUCCAGCCAUACCGCGUGGGUGAAGAAGGCCUUCGGGCUGUAAAGCCCUUUUGUUGGGAAAGAAAAGCAGCAGGUUAAUACCCCGCUGUUCUGACGGUACCCAAAGAAUAAGCACCGGCUAACUUCGUG
rnacentral:rRNA from 1 species